UACGUAGGGUGCAAGCGUUGUCCGGAAUUAUUGGGCGUAAAGAGCUCGUAGGCGGUUUGUUGCGUCGGCUGUGAAAUCCCGAGGCUCAACCUCGGGUCUGCAGUCGAUACGAGCAAACUAGAGUGUUGCAGGGGAGACUGGAAUUCCUGGUGUAGCGGUGAAAUGCGUAGAGAUCGGGAGGAACACCAGAGGCGAAGGCGGCGACCUGGACAAGUACUGACACUCAACUACGAAAGCGUGGGGAGCAAACAGG
rnacentral:rRNA from 1 species